rfam:Clostridium proteolyticum DSM 3090 genome assembly, contig: EJ39DRAFT_scaffold00002.2
UUAAAUAAAUAGUAAAUAGGUUUGAAAGAUUUCAAUCUUUCGAUUAAAAGGGAAGCAGGUUAAAAUCCUGCACGAUCCCGUCGCUGUAAUAGAGGAGUUUUUGCAAUUAUCCACUGGGAAACUGGGAAGGAUGCGAAAAUGUUGAUGCUUAAGUCAGAAGACCUGCCUGUUUAGUUGCACAGUU